AUCCUUUAUAUAUAUUUAUAGGCUUAAAUUAAAAUAACUUAGCUCACUUUAACAAAAUUAAGGGUCCAACUAAAUUAAUAAUAGCACAAUAAUUAAAUUAAGACCAAUUUUAAACCAAAGCCACCACUGCAUUAACCAACUCAAGCCCAACAGUAAUUUAAUUUACAAAAGUCCAUCAGCUCUUAUUAGCCCAAGUAAUUGUUUAAGCCCAACUGUAAUUACCCAUUAUUCUUUAAUAAAUAAAAUCUAAUCUAAACAAAUUAAUCACCCUUUUCCUUUUCUUCUACGCAAUGGUAUCACUCUCUCCCUCUCUCUGCGUUCUCUCCUUUUUAUCUCUACUGGCGCUCUCUCGCUCUUUCCUCCUCCGGCAGAUGUCGCCGGUCCUCCCCGCCUCCGGCGCGGCGAGGCCGGCCCUCUCCUUCCCCCCAUCCUUUUCUUUCUUCCCUACUUCCUUCCCAAUUUCUAAAAUCCCCAAAUUAUAGGGUUUGCUGCCUUCCUUUUUCCCUCUGAAAUUCGCCCCUCCGGCGAGGCCCGCCACUGCCGCCGCCGUCUCUGUGGCACCACCGCCACCUCCGUCUCAGGAAUUGAUCGGCAUCGUCGACUCCGGUGUGGCAGCUUCGUCUACUGCCCAAGAUUCUACCUUUUCUUCCUUGCUUUUUAUUUAUCUGGUUUCUUGUUCAAUUAUUGAAAAUUGGGAUCGUUGAUGAUAAAGCAUACUGCUUAUGCUCAACUUGUAUAACUAUAUCUAUUUUGAUUGUUCGUGGCUGUUGAUUGUUGAUCUAUACUCAAUGAAUGGAUUAUUGAAUAAAAGAAAGACUACCUUCUUUGCUGUGAA